rnacentral:rRNA from 1 species
AGCGAACGCUGGCGGCAGGCCUAACACAUGCAAGUCGAACGGAUCCUUCGGGAUUAGUGGCGGACGGGUGAGUAACACGUGGGAACGUGCCCUUUGGUUCGGAACAACUCAGGGAAACUUGAGCUAAUACCGGAUGUGCCCUUCGGGGGAAAGAUUUAUCGCCAUUGGAGCGGCCCGCGUCUGAUUAGCUAGUUGGUGGGGUAAAGGCCCACCAAGGCGACGAUCAGUAGCUGGUCUGAGAGGAUGAUCAGCCACAUUGGGACUGAGACACGGCCCAAACUCCUACGGGAGGCAGCAGUGGGGAAUCUUGCGCAAUGGGCGAAAGCCUGACGCAGCCAUGCCGCGUGAAUGAUGAAGGUCUAACGAUUGUAAACUUCUUUUCUGAGGGAGCAUAAUGAGAGUACCUCAGGAAUAAGGGACGGCUAAAUACGUGCCAGCAGCCGCGGUAAGAC